CUGGACUUAAUGGGACAACGAGUAUCUUAUUCAAAGGCUGUUGGGCAAAUUACACUGACCUCUCCAUCAACACAAACGGUACCAGCUACAAACUAGUAUUCGAACUGAGAUCGAUUAAAACUUAUUCUGGCACCUUCUCUGUG